rnacentral:tRNA from 1 species
GCCCGGAUGGCGGAAUUGGCAGACGCAUCAGACUCAAAAUCUGACGGCCUUUGGGUCGUGUGGGUUCGACCCCCACUCCGGGUA